AAUCUAAACCUCCUUCCAGUUUAAAGCCGUUGCCCCUCGUCAGUUGCCCCUUGUCCAUUGCUCCUUGUCCAUUGCCAUAUGCCCUUGUGAAAAGUCUCUUUCCAGCUUUCUUGUGUAUGCCAAAAGUCAGCUAGUAAGAGAAGAGAGAGAAUAUCUAUUUAUUCUUUCUUUAUUUUUAUUUAGUCUAAUUUUAAAUGGUAAAACUUCCAGAGGACUACUUUAGCUAGGACUGGCUAAAGCAGUUUAUUUUUAUUUAGAGCAGCCUAAGCCACCUGCUUUGUAGAUGGUAAAUUCCUGCAUCUUUUGCUGAAUGCUUGUUAAAACAAAGAAUAAGGGAGACGGGCACCAUCUGCACGGAGCAGGGUAGCAGCAAAGGAGCCAUCAGGAUGAUGAGUGAACUGUGGUGUCUUGCUUUCCCUGCAGAUUGAAGAUAGGCAGGCCGAGAUGAGCAGGAGGAAUGUGCCUCAGAGGUAAAGAUGAGGAACACGCUCUUGAAAAGAGGGUGACUGCACCUGAAGGCACUGCUCAGAAGAGGAAGGUGUAUGCUAAUGAGCGAAAGCAGCAGGAAGAAAUGCAGCCGUGGACGUGGAGGGAAAGAAAGUCCUUCUCCUGGUCAUGUGCUUCCACUCCUUCCAAGAUGCCACCACUGCACUUGUGUUGCCUCAAAUCACCCAGUCCUGAGAAAGCUGUCUAUGUUUUCACUGGAUGA
rnacentral:lncRNA from 1 species